GAUGAACGCUGGCGGCGUGCCUAAUACAUGCAAGUCGAGCGAACAGACGAGGAGCUUGCUCCUCUGACGUUAGCGGCGGACGGGUGAGUAACACGUGGAUAACCUACCUAUAAGACUGGGAUAACUUCGGGAAACCGGAGCUAAUACCGGAUAAUAUAUUGAACCGCAUGGUUCAAUAGUGAAAGACGGUUUUGCUGUCACUUAUAGAUGGAUCCGCGCCGCAUUAGCUAGUUGGUAAGGUAACGGCUUACCAAGGCAACGAUGCGUAGCCGACCUGAGAGGGUGAUCGGCCACACGGGAGCUGAGACACGGACCUGACUCCUACGGGAGGCAGCAGUAGGGAAUCUUCCGCAAUGGGCGAAAGCCUGACGGAGCAACGCCGCGUGAGUGAUGAAGGUCUUCGGAUCGUAAAACUCUGUUAUUAGGGAAGAACAAAUGUGUAAGUAACUAUGCACGGCUUGACGGUACCUAAUCAGAAAGCCACGGCUAACUACGUG
rnacentral:rRNA from 1 species